rnacentral:piRNA from 1 species
AGGGUGGGACCAGUGAGAUGACUCUG